AGGACAGAUAACACAGCAAAUGGACAAUCAAAAAUGGUCCAUGACCAUGAAAGAAAACUGUAGAAAUGCAGACUUCGACCGAGUUUCAAUUUUUAAACACACAUAUUAGUGCCAGCAAGGAGUUACAUUUAUGACAUUUUUCCUGUGCAGUUAGUGGUAGGAUAAGCCAAAGCACCACUUAAGUAGAAACAGAUCUAUGCUUAGUAUCAUUGAACAAAGGAAUUUGAGUGAUACAUCAUAAACAAAUCUUGCGGUCCAAAUUACGACUACACCAAAAUGCUUCCUGAUUUAGCAACUCUUGAUACCAUUCCACUUUUCUUCACGGCUUUGGCAUACUUGCCAAAUAGGUGCCAUUUAAAUACCAUAGAAACUAGUCAUUGAUGUCUCCACCAAGUUCCGUAUUCCAUUCUCCAUUUUCUAAUUGACAUACCACCAUCUAAGAAAACUCCUGUACAUUUAUAUUUCUUUAAUGACUCACACAUGAGACAGCAAGCCAAGGAUAUAAAAACACUUCCAAUGGUGUGCCAUUGAAGAGUUAUCAAUGACAAAAUAUGGCAUUUGGCAUGUUACACGGCACAGCUCUUUACUACUUCGUACUUUCAUCUCAUCACUGUUUUGCCCCUUGUAAGUUUUUUUUUUUUUUUUCUCUCUCCUAUGAUGACACAUGCUACUUUCUCACAAUUGAUUUGAAUUUGAUUAAAGUUAAUCUUAAAGAUAUAACUUUUUAAAUUUGUUUUAUCUAUGUGCGCUUUUAUGUAUUCUAAUCGACGCACGGAUCAUGAGGAAAAACAAAAUUCCAGACAUCCUUUUUUCUACUAGAUAAAGAACAGUAAAGUAAAGAUUAUUAGACUGACUGAAGAAUUUUAUAAUUGCUACAUCUUGGAACGAGGCAUAGUUCAGCAGUCGUACUCUUUUCGGGUAAAAAAUGACCAGAGUCUUAGCGAGAUGUUUGGGAGCAAAAACUAAUGAAUGGGACAACUUAUCUCAAAGGCAAAACUUAUCCUAAUGGAAGGGACUCGAUCGAUUGGGUCACGUUGAGGUAGGCUUUCUCUUCGAAGCAUCUGCCUUUCUGGAACGUGCUUUCUUGCUGAUUGGUUCGCUUACCAUGAGGAUGUCAAGGCCCCAGAGAGUCAUUCAGGAUGGGUCGCCAACCACUUGGGCUAAGUUAUGCGAUGGACUCAGUUAGAGUUGUUGAGCCAACAUGCCUCAGGAGCUUCUCAGGGAAGUAUUGCUCAAAAUCGAGUCUUCUGAGUCAGCCUGGCCGGUGAGGAAAAGCGUCAUGGCCUGUGCCGGUGUUCGCCGGAGCCGGAGAGUGAUAAGGAGAUCAUCAAGACCCCCGAACUCUCUGCAAAUUUGACCUUUCCUAUCUCUGUCAAGCUGGUUUUUUUAUUUUAUUUUAUUUUGAUACUGGACUAUGAGAAUUUAAACUAAUAAUCAUUAGCUGAAAAAAUAACGUUUUGUCAUUGGGUUUUACUGCAGGGAUAUAAAGUCUUCAUGCUAAACUUGUAUUAUGAUUCCACUGAUAUUAUUAUUAACGAUCAUUGGUUUUGAGUUUAA